AUUGAACGCUGGCGGCAUGCCUUACACAUGCAAGUCGAACGGUAACAGGUCUUCGGAUGCUGACGAGUGGCGAACGGGUGCGUAAUACAUCGGAACGUGCCCGAUCGUGGGGGAUAACGAGGCGAAAGCUUUGCUAAUACCGCAUACGAUCUACGGAUGAAAGCGGGGGAUCUUCGGACCUCGCGCGGACGGAGCGGCCGAUGGCAGAUUAGGUAGUUGGUAGGAUAAAAGCUUACCAAGCCGACGAUCUGUAGCUGGUCUGAGAGGAUGAUCAGCCACACUGGGACUGAGACACGGCCCAGACUCCUACGGGAGGCAGCAGUGGGGAAUUUUGGACAAUGGGCGAAAGCCUGAUCCAGCCAUGCCGCGUGCAGGAUGAAGGCCUUCGGGUUGUAAACUGCUUUUGUACGGAACGAAAAGCCUCUUUCUAAUAAAGAGGGGUCAUGACGGUACCGUAAGAAUAAGCACCGGCUAACUACGUG
rnacentral:rRNA from 1 species